CUUGCGCUUCAAAUUCUGCUUCCUCUACAUCCAGCAACGGUGCUUGGUUCUCACAAGAGCUAGAUUCAACAAAUCAAAAUAGGCUGAAAUGGGUGCAGAAGAAUUACAUGAUUUACAAUUACUGCACUGAUACAAAGAGAUUUCCUCAGGGCCUUCCUGCAGAAUGCAGAACCUCCUAGAGAAAAUAAUCAACAAGACGCUUAAAAAUUAUUUUAUUCUUUCGUGUAAUCAUUCAAUGGUUAUUCAAUUCAUGUAGAUUCUGGAGUCAGAUUCUUUGUUUCUCUGUAAUCAAUAAAAUGGCAUAUUAGUCCAAUUUUUACCAUAUGUAACACUGGUUAAUGAAUUUUAAAAAGGAUAAUGUUAUGCGUACUUGCGUGGUAUACAAAUUAAGUAUGCUAACUAAGUAAACAUAAUAUUACUAUUUCAAAAGAUUUUGUUCUUCUUUGUUGUUAUUCUUCGUAAGCUUUAGCAUAUAGUUAUAAGCCUAAUUAAAGGUAUUGACAUGAUGACUCAUUAAUAAAGCUUUUAGACCCUAGAUUGGAAUAUGACGAAUUAUCGAGGAUGCAUGAAGAUAAGAGCAAAUGAGUCUCCACCAGAAUGAGAAGAAAAUAUACUGCGUGUGAGCGUUACCGUAUUUGUGUCAAUCGAGGAGAAAUUUUAGCCAUUGAUUAGUAUUUAGAUAAGGCAGUAAAAGGGUAAAAUGGCAGAAAUAAACUAAAAAAAUAACAGAGUGAACUUGCACAAGUCGAUGAGGAAGAGUGAUGCAUACCGUUAUUGUUGUACGUGUUAAUUAAUAAUGAGAGGGGGACAAGCUGCGAGCCAGCUCUCAAGAGUUGAUUUUUCAAGGCGAGUCAACCCCGCCAUGCCACCACCGCCUUUCCAGAUAAACAAAUUAAACAUUCUCUAGUAUAAGUGGUAAUAUACAAAACAGGAAACAGGGCUUUUGUACACAGCAAAAUCUUCAGUCCGUUCGAUUUAAAUACCAAUAUCUAUAAAUUCCUUAAUAAUAAUAAUAAUAAGCAUAUCUUCCAGUUCUAUAUGUGUUUUAUUACAUACGAACCCACCGGAAAGUAUGUGUUAGUGUUGUGAAAAUUUUAAUAUAUUCGCAAGUGCACGAAUCUAGAGAUAGAAUUGUGAUAACGAGAUCGAUCCCACAUGGAUUGUUAUAAAUUAAAAAGUCUAAUUUAAAUCUAAAAUUAAUAUUAAUCCUAACCUAGUUGAGCAAAUUGAGUUUCAAAAGAAAUUAAACUAAUUAAACUAAGAAAACAAUUAAAGUAAAUGAGAUUUCAAUGAGACAAAAAUUACCAAGGUUUCGGAAUCCACCACUAGUCAAUUAGUAAUUAUCUAAUUAUUAAUUAAUCCCUAAUUUUAGAGUGACAACUCGAAAUCAAUCUAUGUCAUCUCAUAAAUAUAAUAAUUAAGCCCAAUUAAAAUUAAUCUUGUGUAUGUUAUUUUUCUGCUUAAUAGUAUGAUAUCUAAGUAUCCCAUGUAAACAUAUUAAAUAACAAAAAGUCAAAAUUUUCCUAAGCACUCUAUGUAAACAAUUUAAUGAAAGAUAUAGAAUCAAAGAUAAUAAUGUAUAAACUUUAUAUAUCCAAGCAUAGAUUUAAUCGAACAUUAAUCCUAACAAUCAAUAAUACAUGAUAGAAUUGAUGAAAAGUUUUUAAUAACAUAUAAUUAAUCAUGUGAAAUAAAAACUAUAAUCAUUAAAGAACAUAUAUAGGAAAUUAAAUAAAUAAAAAGAUAAUUAUUUCAUUAAAUAAGGUAUCAUCUUUAAUCUUGGUAUAAGAAAAUUAGUUAGACAUACUUAAAUUGGGAGUAACACAAAAAAUAAAAUCACUCAUAGAAGCCGAACUGCUGCUGCUCUUCGUCCCGAAGCCGAACUGCUGCUGCUCUUCGUCCCGCGGCUUCUCUUCUGGCGGCCGCCUUUCCCUCUUGCAAAAGCCAAAGUUCGGCUUUUAUAUUGUAACUCCCCACAAAAUCCUCAAAUCAAAAGGUUUUAAAACAAGCCAAGCACAACCGACUUUGAGCCCAUGCAUGUGAAGCCCACUUGGAAUUUUCAUUCCUUUUUUAAUGCCAUGCAAUUGCUUUCCCACGUGCUGGCCACUUUAGCUUUAAAUUUCUUCUUUGUUUGCACUAGCAUGGAGAAUUCAAUUUAUUGGCUUCGGCUUCGGCUUCUUCGGAUUGAAUUUCAUACACAUCUACUUAAUUGCUUCCAUAAAUUGACUUGAUUUUUAAUGUUGUCCAAUUGUUAUUCUUUAUGUACUUUUCAUUCCUAAUCUCCAAUUAAUUCCCAAUUCAAUAAAACAAUUCAAUUAAUUAAAAAUAAUAAAUAAAUAUAACUAACAAUUAUUUAAUUAAGGGUAAAAUAUGCAUAUAUUAUAUGCUCAUCAGUUAUCAAUUAACCUAAAAUUUGGAAACAAAUUCACAGUUUCAUGUUACUAGGAAGCAUGUGUAUCGGUAUCUUGGGAUACAUAUUUCUUAGAUGUUAGAUCCAUGAUUCGUGUUAGGGACUCCAGUAAAGACUUGUCUUUAAUUUUCUUGGGUCAAACCAUUUUCGUUUUUACAUAGCAAAGGUUUCUUGUUCAAAUCUCAGCGUGCUCAAUUUUUUGGGAAUAACACACGUAUAUGUUUCAAUUCAUGUAUGUUCAAGAACCUCUAAUUCAAUCUCCUAUCUCCGCUUUUGGAACGACAUGACCUUGAAACUGGAUCCAUGUUUCACAUGGGCAGGUCUUUUAACACUUUAAUGCUAUUUUCUGGACUCCUGUUUAACGUCUUAAGCUUUUGAAUUAAAUGAUUUCCUGAUAAUAAAUAUAGUUAUCGAAAAAAUCUGUUAAUUAAGUACGUCAUUGAGCAAUUUUUUCUUUUUCUUUUUCUUUUGAGCAUAAAAUGGAAAAAAAAAAUGAAAAUCUCGAGAGAGAACAGUACCCAGUGAAUUCUACAUUUUCUUUUUUGUGUUUUGACUGGUGGUGGCUGGAAAAAAAAAAAUCUAAUAAGAGUCAGCCGGUGAUGGGAACAGAACAGCAGUACAGAAUAAGCACUUGAGUCUCAAAAAUAUGCAAAGCCGCGUAUUGUAAUUAAAAAAAGUCCCUGGUGUAGCGUGUUCUGUUAGUGCGAUUCGGACAGCUGUUUUUAUUUCAUCACGCUAUUUUACGCAAACAACUGGCCACAGCUGAAGCUGAACUAACUGGAGCUUCCCAUUACUUUCCUCUGCUUUCGUUAUACUCACCUUCACCAGCUCAAUCAAGCUAUAAACACCAAACCCUGGUGAGAUCCCAAACACACUCAUCGCUUCACUUUCAAAAAUUUCAAACUUCUCUCCAACUCAAAUUCUUCUAUCUUGUUGUUGCUCAGACGAAAGCUUCCAUGGCUUCAGUAUUGCAUCUGUCGCUGCUUCUUCUUGGCUCUUUGAUGGUUGCCUCUGCUGGUAACUUCCACCAAGAUUUUGAUAUCACUUGGGGAGACGGGCGUGCUAAUAUACUCAACAAUGGCCAGCUUCUUACUCUUUCCCUUGAUAAAGCCUCUGGCUCAGGCUUCCAGUCCAAGAAUGAGUAUCUAUUCGGCAAGAUUGAUAUGCAACUCAAACUAGUCCCUGGCAACUCUGCCGGCACUGUCACUGCGUAUUAUGUAAGUUCCUGCCUUUAUAUGAAUAAACAAUAUGCAUGUUUGAUCAUUACCCUUUAUAUGAAUAAACAAUAUGCAUGUUUGAUCAUCAUGUAUCUGACAUAUAGACCUUUGAUUUUUUGUUCACGCAGUUAAAAUCGCCAGGAUCAACAUGGGAUGAGAUAGACUUCGAGUUCUUGGGGAAUUUAAGUGGUGACCCUUACACUCUGCAUACCAAUGUUUUCACAAAUGGCAAAGGUGACAAAGAACAACAAUUUCACCUCUGGUUUGACCCCACUGCUGACUUUCACACCUAUUCUAUCCUCUGGAAUCCUCAGCGCAUUGUGUAAGCAAUAUUUUCCUUCAAUCUCCAUCAUUUCUUCUUUCCUUGUCAGUCAAUCUGCUUAGACGUACCAAUGUUUACUUAAUUUUCAGCUUCUCUGUGGAUGGUACUCCCAUAAGAGAGUUCAAGAACUCAGAGUCAAUUGGAGUUGCAUUCCCAAAGAAUCAGCCAAUGAGAAUAUACUCAUCUCUCUGGAAUGCUGAUGACUGGGCUACAAGAGGUGGCCUUGUCAAGACAGAUUGGACGCAUGCUCCCUUCACGGCUUCCUACAGAAACUUCAACGCUGAUGCUUGUGUCUGGUCUAAUGGAAAAUCUUCUUGCGCUUCAAGUUCACCUUCCUCUCCAUCCAGCAGCAGUGCCUGGUUCUCACAAGAGCUUGAUUCAACAAGUCAGGAAAGGCUGAAAUGGGUGCAGAAGAAUUACAUGAUUUACAAUUAUUGCGCUGAUGCAAAGAGAUUUCCCCAGGGACUCCCUGCAGAAUGCAGAACCGCUUAGAAGUUUUGCAAAAUCAACACAUACAUCAAAAAAAUUUAUUCUUUUUGUCAAUUCUUUGAUUCUUUGUUGUAUUUUGUCGUCAAUAAAAUGGCAAAUUAGUCCAACUUUCUCAAUGUAAUACAAAAUUUAGCAUAUAAAUAUCAUGAGAUUAUGUUCUCUACUCUUCGCAUGCUUGCUAUAUGUUCUUCUUUGGCUAGGUUUUAACGUAGAAACGACCAAACCUCUUCACAUAUGCAAUGGUACUCUAAAUUUUGACUGACUUAACGGGUAAGGACUAGCAAAAUAUUCUAUUGCCAUUAAAAC
rnacentral:lncRNA from 1 species